AGAAGGAGUUGGGCCUGUUUGCUCAUGAGCAGCUGUCGAGGAGGCCCACUGUGUACCACAUAUGCGGCUCCUGAGGUCCUGAGGUGGAAGGUCCCUACUGCAUCCACCACCCCGCGGGGCAGAGAAGGAGCCCAGAGAAGGAGGGGCGUCCCACCUCGUGGAAGGCCAGGAAUCAGGAAGACCAGUGUCCCUUGUGCUAGGGCAGCACAGUGGGGUCCCUCUCUCUUUCUCCCUCACCCCCAUGCUCCUGGUCAACCUCCUCCCACUCCAGCCCUGGCUGCCAGGGCCAGCCCCCCACCUUCUCUAUGGGGUGGGACGCUGGUGAGCCACGUAUUCACGGGAGGACCCUCAGCACAGAAUGAGCCCUGGACAGUCCAUGCAUGUGACUGACAUUGCUCACUUCACCAGCCCAUCUGCUCCCUCCCUUCCUGAUGCAGGCAGCAGGAGAGGGGCAGAGACACAGACAUCCCAGGAGGGAAAACCUUCUGGAAGAGCCUACUUGACAUGCCUGGUAUCCUUGGCUCCCAGACAAGUCUGGACCACCGAUCCCACAUGGUAAAAAGGACCCUUCCACAAGAUACUCCCAGACACAGCCAGAUGCCCCAUAGAGAAGGUGGUGGGCAGGUCCUGGUGGUCCCGGCCCCACCCAGUCCUCCGAGGGAAGCAUCCACAGCUGUUUCUGCUCCUUGGCCUCCGACACCCCAGUGCCAUCCCCGGAGGGCCUGGGCUGCCCCUGCACGGUGAGCUCCGGGCCAGUGACAGCCGGGGGCCCUGCUCUCGGCACCACCCUCUUCCAGGGGUGGAGACCCAGGCCUUGGGUCUGUGAGCUCCUAGGUCUGUUUCUGGAUGCAGCUCAGCUCCCUCUGCUAUGCACAGAGUAAGUGCCCAGCAUGUGUGCCAUGGCUCAAGUUUGGGAUGUAGGAGUCUGGGCUGGGAGGAAGGGCCUGGCUUCCGCCUCUGGCUUGGGAUGGAGAGGGCACCAAGCUCAUGGUGUCACUCGUGUCACUUGGCCGUUCACUGGUGCUCGGCAGAGGUUCUCUCGCAGGCUCCUGUGUUUACUGUAUGGUGUCUUCCGCUGUGCAGAAAUUUCAAAUAUGGCCCAGUAAAAUAUAUCAGGCUGUCUUCCCUUGGGCUCACAUCUAAGACCAUGGCUGCUCCACCCUUCCUAUGUGUAGAAAUUCUUACCUGUCUCUCCACGGUAUGUCGCUUGUCCAGGGAAGAUUCCAUGCCUGCCUCGUGGAAACACCCGGAGCAGAAAAGGCAGCAUCCCCGUGGCAGGGAGGCCUGAAGGCCAUAGUGUCUGGCAUUGUGUGCCUUGUUUAUGCCAGCUUUCUCAACCACAAGAUUACAAAAGUGUUUUCCUGUAUUUCUUCCUAUCCUCUUGCAUAUGUAGAUAAAUACGCAUGUGUGAGACACACAUGCACACACACACACACAUGCACAUACCACCACACAUUUGUUGAGCCAAGUGGGUGAUGCUCCGUCGAGUGCACCAAGCUGGCUUCUUCCUCGGGGCUUUUGUGCCUGUGCAUGGGUCCCUUUUCAUGGGCUGUUUGAGCCCAGCUUCUCCCAUGACAGCCCCUGUGUCUGCCUCCCACCCGGGCACAGAGCAGGAACAGCAGCCCUGCUCUCUUCACUAGGCAAGCGUGCUGUGCACAGGUAGGUGUUCAAUAUUGGAUGAAUAAUUCAUACUAACAAACCCUGUUCAACCCACCAAGUGUAAACUGCUGAGGUCUCCCAAUAUUCCUGGGGACACACUUUAGAAUUCACAGUUCACCCAGGGCGGGUGAAAGCUUGCUUUUCUUUUUCCUCUUCAGCCACGGAACUUGCCGAUGCCCACUUUUCCAAUGCCAGCGUGAAAGCCCCAGUGAGUGCCCUAGAGGGGCAGGACACCAGCUG
rnacentral:lncRNA from 1 species